rnacentral:rRNA from 1 species
UACGAAGGGGGCUAGCGUUGCUCGGAAUUACUGGGCGUAAAGCGCACGUUGGCGGCUUUCUAAGUCGGGGGUGAAAUCCUGGAGCUCAACUCCAGAACUGCCUUCGAUACUGGAGAGCUCGAGUCCGGGAGAGGUGAGUGGAACUGCGAGUGUAGAGGUGAAAUUCGUAGAUAUUCGCAAGAACACCAGUGGCGAAGGCGGCUCACUGGCCCGGUACUGACGCUGAGGUGCGAAAGCGUGGGGAGCAAACAGG